rnacentral:snRNA from 1 species
GUGCUCGAUUUGGCAGCACAUACACUAAAAUUGGAACGCUACUGAGAAGAUUAGCAUGGCCUCUGCACAACAAUGAUAGGCAAAUUCUUCAAGUAUUCCAUAUUUUU